AACGAACGCUGGCGGCAUGCCUAACACAUGCAAGUCGAACGAGACCUUCGGGUCUAGUGGCGCACGGGUGCGUAACGCGUGGGAACCUGCCCUUAGGUUCGGAAUAACUCCCCGGAAGGGGUGCUAAUACCGGAUAAUGUCUUCGGACCAAAGAUUUAUCGCCUUUGGAUGGGCCCGCGUUGGAUUAGCUAGUUGGUAGGGUAAAAGCCUACCAAGGCGACGAUCCAUAGCUGGUCUGAGAGGAUGAUCAGCCACACUGGGACUGAGACACGGCCCAGACUCCUACGGGAGGCAGCAGUGGGGAAUAUUGGACAAUGGGCGAAAGCCUGAUCCAGCAAUGCCGCGUGAGUGAUGAAGGCCUUAGGGUUGUAAAGCUCUUUUAACCGGGAUGAUAAUGACAGUACCGGGAGAAUAAGCUCCGGCUAACUCCGUG
rnacentral:rRNA from 1 species